rnacentral:rRNA from 1 species
AAAUUGAAGAGUUUGAUCAUGGCUCAGAUUGAACGCUGGCGGCAGGCCUAACACAUGCAAGUCGGACGGUAGCACAGAGGAGCUUGCUCCUUGGGUGACGAGUGGCGGACGGGUGAGUAAUGUCUGGGGAUCUGCCCGAUAGAGGGGGAUAACCACUGGAAACGGUGGCUAAUACCGCAUAACGUCGCAAGACCAAAGAGGGGGACCUUCGGGCCUCUCACUAUCGGAUGAACCCAGAUGGGAUUAGCUAGUAGGCGGGGUAAUGGCCCACCUAGGCGACGAUCCCUAGCUGGUCUGAGAGGAUGACCAGCCACACUGGAACUGAGACACGGUCCAGACUCCUACGGGAGGCAGCAGUGGGGAAUAUUGCACAAUGGGCGCAAGCCUGAUGCAGCCAUGCCGCGUGUAUGAAGAAGGCCUUCGGGUUGUAAAGUACUUUCAGCGGGGAGGAAGGCGACA